GACGAACGCUGGCGGCGUGCCUAACACAUGCAAGUCGAACGGAAAGGCCCUGCUUUUGUGGGGUGCUCGAGUGGCGAACGGGUGAGUAACACGUGAGUAACCUGUCCCUGACUUUGGGAUAACUUCAGGAAACUUGGGCUCAUACCGGAUAGGAGCUCCUGCUGCAUGGUGGGCGUUGGUAAGAUUCGGCGGUUGGGGAUGGACUAGCGGCUUAUCGGCUUGAUGGUGGGGUAGUGGUUUAACAAGGCUUUGACGGGUAGCCGGCCUGGGAGGGGGGCCGGCGACAUUGGGCCUGAGGUACGGCCCAGACUCGAACGGGAGGCAACGGUGGAGAGUAUUACACAAUGGGGGGAAGCCAGAUGUAGAAACGCCGCGUGCGGGAUGACGGGCUUCGGGUUGUAAACCGCUUUCGCCUGAGACGAAGCGAGAGUGACGGUAAUGGGUAAAGAAGCACCGGCUAACUACGUG
rnacentral:rRNA from 1 species